CGACCCUCAAGCACAGCUUGGUGUUGGGCACGGUCCCGGGGACCCGCCCGUAACUCGUAGGCGGCCGACGCCCGCGCCCCCAGCGUAGCAAGCUCACGCGUUCGCUCGGGGACGGCGCCUCUGGCCCGCCACUAAAUUAUUCCAAG
rnacentral:misc_RNA from 1 species